AGUUGAAAAAGGGCCGAGUGAAGCUCGGCCACACUCUCGAACUCCUCCCGAGCACAGGCACGCCUGGACUCCUCCUCGAGCUCGUAAACAUUUGAGUCCAGACCAUCGAGUUCGGCAAGGCUCUCCUCCCGGGAGAUUCCACAGCUACGCCCCUCUCAACGCAUCGAAAACUCAAGUGAUGAUGGAGGUUAGGGAGCAGC
rnacentral:lncRNA from 1 species